rnacentral:lncRNA from 1 species
CGGCGGCUGAGACAUCGCUCUCGGCUCUCGCUCGGCGUCCCAAGCGACCCUCAAAGGCACAUAGCCAGACCUCCGCCGGCCCGACGAGGUCUAGUCCAGGCCCAGGGCGAAUGGCUUUCCUUUUCCUACCAGUUCCUCCUCCUCCUAGGCGAAGGCGGAAGCGCCGGACGUUGUUUCUCUUCUCACUUCUCCACUGCCUUAGCCGUUGCCCCGAACGUAACGGCCACCACCCCACCCCGCACUCACACUCACUCACUCUCGCUCUCUCCCUCAGACACAGACAUACACGCCCUCACUGAGACUGCGCAGGCGUAGCUUCUGCUCUGCCCUCUGGGAACCAGAGUCUUCCGGCUCCUCUCUCGCGAAGGAGUGCUAGGCGCUUCCGUCCAGAAAGAACUUCAAAUACCGUGAUGCAAAGCGACUCGACGCACGCGGGGAGGAGGAAGAGGAAGGCACUCGGAAGAGGACAAGUGGUGGCUCCAGACUGUCUGAAGACAGGAGUCUGUCAAGUGUCUGCUUUAAGAAAUCAGGUGUGCUGGCUGCUCCUAACUCUCAGAAGAAUGGGGAAGGGAGAUAAAGUGAUGCCCAGCCCAGCCCACAGGACACCUCCCCGCUCCAAGCCCUGUUCCUUACAUGCUGUCAUUGCUGAACACGGCUAGCCUCUGGGACUCCUGAGGAGAAGAAAAUAUGCAAGGAAGAACAGGUUUGAGCUCAAGGUGUUAAAUCUCUGGAUCUGGCCAAUCUGUCGUUUUCUUCAUGGCCUUCUGUCAGCCUCAGAAAGUACUUUC